rnacentral:rRNA from 1 species
CUACGGGAGGCUGCAGUGAGGAAUAUUGCACAAUGGGGGGAACCCUGAUGCAGCAACGCCGCGUGGAGGAUGACGCAUUUCGGUGUGUAAACUCCUUUUAUAUGUCAAGAAAAUGACGGUAGCAUAUGAAUAAGCACCGGCUAACUCCGUGCCAGCAGCCGCGGUAAUACGGAGGGUGCAAGCGUUACUCGGAAUCACUGGGCGUAAAGGACGCGUAGGCGGGUUGGAAAGUCAGGUGUGAAAUCCUACGGCUUAACUGUAGAACUGCACUUGAAACUUCUAAUCUAGAGUAUGGGAGGGGAGAUGGAAUUAGUGGUGUAGGGGUAAAAGCCGUAGAUAUCACUAGGAAUACCUAAAGCGAAGGCGAUCUCCUGGAACAUUACUGACGCUAAGGCGUGAAAGCGUGGGGAGCAAACAGGAUUAGAUACCCGAGUAGUC